UACGGGGGGGGCAAGCGUUGUUCGGAAUUACUGGGCGUAAAGGGCGCGUAGGCGGCUCGCUAAGUCGGGUGUGAAAACUCUGGGCUCAACCCAGAGCCUGCAUUCGAAACUGACGGGCUAGAGUUCUGGAGGGGAAAGCGGAAUUCCUGGUGUAGCAGUGAAAUGCGUAGAUAUCAGGAGGAACACCGGUGGCGAAGGCGGCUUUCUGGACAGAAACUGACGCUGAGGAGCGAAAGCCAGGGGAGCAAACGGG
rnacentral:rRNA from 1 species